GUGAGUAGAGCGGCGGACGGGUGAGUAAUGCUUGGGAAUCUGCCCAAUAGUGGGGGAUAACGUGUGGAAACGCACGCUAAUACCGCAUACGCCCUACGGGGGAAAGCAGGGGAUCUUCGGACCUUGCACUAUUGGAUGAGCCUAUGUCUGAUUAGCUUGUUGGUGGGGUAAAAGCCUACCAAGGCAACGAUCAGUAGCUGGUCUGAGAGGACGAUCAGCCACACUGGGACUGAGACACGGCCCAGACUCC
rnacentral:rRNA from 1 species